rnacentral:rRNA from 1 species
GCUGAAUAGCUAGCCUUAUACACCACGGCCAACACACUGAUUAGCCACAACCCACCAAGACCUGAAUACAACGAACAAACCAUUUUUCCAUCCUAGUACGGGAGACGGAAAGGAGCACUUUUGAGCGACAGAGAUAGUACCGCAAGGGAAAGCUGAAAGAGGAAUGAAACAACUCACUCAAGCCCCAGGAAACAGAGACACAACCUCGUACCUUUUGCAUCAUGGUUUAGCCAGAACACCCAGGCAAGGAGAACUUUAGUCCGGACCCCCGAAACUACGUGAGCUACUCCGAGGCAGCCUAUAGCAGGGCCAACCCAUCUCUGUGGCAAAAGAGUGGGAAGAACUUCGAGUAGAGGUGAAAAGCCUACCGAACCUAGUUAUAGCUGGUUGCUUGGAAAAUGAAUAGAAGUUCAGCCUUCUGAGUUCUUAAACCCCCCCGGCGCACGACACCUGGGCUGCAGAAGUUAGAAGAGUUAGUCAAGAGAGGUACAGCUCUCUUGAAAUAGGACACAACCUUUUCAGGCGGUUGAGGAUCAUAAUACUUAAGGUGAACUAUCUUAGUGGGCCUGAAAGCAGCCACCUGGACAGAAAGCGUUAAAGCUCAAACAGAUCAGCCUUUAAACCUCUAAUUUGGAUAAAAAGUCCCACCCCCUUCCACCACCAAGCCCCCCUAUGCACCCAUAGGAGAGCUUAUGCUAAAAUGAGUAAUAGGAGGGCACGCCCCUCUCCCCGCGCAAGUGUAAGUCAGACCGGACCCCCCCCUGACAGAUAACGAACCCACCCCUAGAGAGAACUUCGGACCAAAUCAGUUAACCAGGAAAAACCCGAAUGUAACAUCGUUAACCCUACACAGGAGCGCCCCAAGGGAAAGACCUAAAGGGAGAGAAGGAACUCGGCAAGCACAAGCCUCGCCUGUUUACCAAAAACAUCGCCUCUUGCUGAACCCAUGAAUAAGAGUCCCGCCUGCCCUGUGACCACAAGUUUAACGGCCGCGGUAUAUUGACCGUGCAAAGGUAGCGCAAUCACUUGUCUUUUAAAUGAAGACCCGUAUGAAAGGCACGACGAGGGCUUAACUGUCUCCUCUCCCCAGUCUAUGAAAUUGAUCCCCCCGUGCGGAAGCGGGGAUCCCGAUAUAAGACGAGAAGACCCCAUGGAGCUUCAGACACUGGGCAACCCACCCCUGACCCCCUCGGCCACUGACGGGGACAAUAACUGGCCUUUCUCCCACUUGUCUUUGGUUGGGGCGACCGAGGAGGAGAAGAAGCCUCCACACGGACUGGGAGCACACAUCCUAGGACUGAGAGUUACAUCUCUAAGGAACAGAACUUCUGACUAAAUGAUCCGGCGCACGCCGAUCGACGGACCGAGUUACCCUGGGGAUAACAGCGCAAUCCUCUCCCAGAGUCCCUAUCGACGAGGGGGUUUACGACCUCGAUGUUGGAUCAGGACAUCCCAGUGGUGCAGCCGCUACUAAGGGUUCGUUUGUUCAACGAUUAAAGUCCUACGUGAUCUGAGUUCAGACCGGAGCAAUCCAGGUCAGUUUCUAUCUAUAAAUGAAUCUUCCCCAGUACGAAAGGACCGGGGAGAAAAGGCCCAUGCCCCCGGUACGCCUUGCCCCUGCUCAAUGAGGCCAACUAAAAUGGAAAAAGGGGGGCAAGCCCGGAGGCGCCCUAGAGAAGGGCUCA